GACGAACGCUGGCGGCGUGCUUAACACAUGCCAGUCGAACGGAAAGGCCCUGCUUUUGUGGGGUGCUCGAGUGGCGAACGGGUGAGUAACACGUGAGUAACCUGCCCUUGACUUUGGGAUAACUUCAGGAAACUGGGGCUAAUACCGGAUAGGAGCUCCUGCUGCAUGGUGGGGGUUGGAAAGUUUCGGCGGUUGGGGAUGGACUCGCGGCUUAUCAGCUUGUUGGUGGGGUAGUGGCUUACCAAGGCUUUAACGGGUAGCCGGCCUGAGAGGGUGACCGGCCACAUUGGGACUGAGAUACGGCCCAGACUCCUACGGGAGGCAGCAGUGGGGAAUAUUGCACAAUGGGCGGAAGCCUGAUGCAGCAACGCCGCGUGCGGGAUGACGGCCUUCGGGUUGUAAACCGCUUUCGCCUGUGACGAAGCGUGAGUGACGGUAAUGGGUAAAGAAGCACCGGCUAACUACGUG
rnacentral:rRNA from 1 species